GCUUUAAAUUUUCUAUUUUAAAACCAAAUUUACUUUUUUACCUUUGUUUAUAUUUUUAUUUAUCUUUUGCUCUUGCCUUUUGGUUUAUACUUUAUAUUUGUAUUUAAAAAUAUAAAUAAAAACAAAAGGUAUAAACAUGCAAAAGCAAGAGAUAAAAAUAUAAAUAAAAAUGCUAGGAAGAGAAAGUAAAUAAGCUCUAAAUUUAAUAAAUAAAAAUAAAAUUUUCAACUCGCAAUCCUCAGGAUUUAUAGGAGAAAAUUAAAUAAAUAAGACCUAAUUUUAUUAAGAACAGUAAAAAAUAGAAUAAAUUAAAGC
rnacentral:rRNA from 1 species